AUUGAACGCUGGCGGCAUGCUUUACACAUGCAAGUCGAACGGUAACAGGUUAAGCUGACGAGUGGCGAACGGGUGAGUAAUGCAUCGGAACGCGCCCGAUCGUGGGGGAUAACGCAGCGAAAGCUGCGCUAAUACCGCAUACGAUCUGAGGAUGAAAGCGGGGGACCGUAAGGCCUCGCGCGAUCGGAGCGGCCGAUGUCAGAUUAGGUAGUUGGUGGGGUAAAGGCUCACCAAGCCAACGAUCUGUAGCUGGUCUGAGAGGACGACCAGCCACACUGGGACUGAGACACGGCCCAGACUCCUACGGGAGGCAGCAGUGGGGAAUUUUGGACAAUGGGCGAAAGCCUGAUCCAGCAAUGCCGCGUGCAGGAAGAAGGCCUUCGGGUUGUAAACUGCUUUUGUACGGAGCGAAAAGGCCCUCUCUAAUACAGGGGGUUUAUGACGGUACCGUAAGAAUAAGCACCGGCUAACUACGUGCCAGCCGCCGCCGUAA
rnacentral:rRNA from 1 species